rnacentral:rRNA from 1 species
GCCCUAGUAACGGCGAGUGAAGCGGCAACAGCUCAAAUUUGAAAUCUGGCGCAAGCCCGAGUUGUAAUUUGUAGAGGAUGCUUCUAGGUAGCGACCGGUCUAAGUUCCUUGGAACAGGACGUCAUAGAGGGUGAGAAUCCCGUAUGUGACCGGCCCGCACCUUCUACGUAGCUCCUUCGACGAGUCGAGUUGUUUGGGAAUGCAGCUCUAAAUGGGAGGUAAAUUUCUUCUAAAGCUAAAUACCGGCCAGAGACCGAUAGCGCACAAGUAGAGUGAUCGAAAGAUGAAAAGCACUUUGGAAAGAGAGUUAAAAAGCACGUGAAAUUGUUGAAAGGGAAGCGCUUACAACCAGACUUCUGGGCGGUGUUCCGCCGGUCUUUUGACCGGUCUACUCGCCGUCCCGAGGCCAACAUCAUCUGGGACCGCUGGAUAAGACCUCAGGAAUGUAGCUCCCCUCGGGGAGUGUUAUAGCCUGUGGUGAUGCAGCGCGUCUCGGGUGAGGUCCGCGCUUCGGCAAGGAUGUUGGCGUAAUGGUUGUCAGCGGCCCGUCUUGAAACACGGACCAAGGAGUCUAACAUCUAUGCGAGUGUUCGGGUGUCAAACCCCUACGCGUAAUGAAAGUGAACGGAGGUGGGAAGGGCAACCUGCACCAUCGACCGAUCCUGAUGUCCUCGGAUGGAUUUGAGUAAGAGCAUAGCUGUUGGGACCCGAAAGAUGGUGAACUAUGCCUGAAUAGGGUGAAGCCAGAGGAAACUCUGGUGGAGGCUCGCAGCGGUUCUGACGUGCAAAUCGAUCGUCAAAUUUGGGUAUAGGGGCGA